rnacentral:sRNA from 2 species
ACACAGAAGGGAGGUGGUUCGGCAGAUGUAUGACAUCCGGACGCGUGAGGUGGCUGCGGGCUAGCGGCCCGGCACCACACGGAGUGCGGCGCCGGACCAGCGCGUGACAGACGCGUGCAGCCGGCCCAAUCCCAAGCAGUCACCCGACCCGCGAGUCGCCGGUACGUCCGGCCGGCUCCUCCACGGAGGAACCAGACUCGCGGGUCGCCUGCG